GCCCGGUUAGCUCAGUCGGUAGAGCAUCAGACUUUUAAGGGAUAUAUAAGUCUCAAAGUAAUCUGAGGGUCAUGGGUUCAAGUCCCAUAUCGGGCG
rnacentral:tRNA from 1 species